GUCAAACUUUAGUUAGGGGAAUAUGCAGCGAUCAAACGCACCAGCAGCAUAACUCGUGGUGAAAUACUCAAAUAAAUACCACUAUCUGUGUGUAUUACAAGCGAAACAUUGCUGCUAAACGAGGAUUAGAGACCCUCUUAUACAAAUGCUCAAUAACGAUUGCGGGGGACUACAACUAUAAGAGUUAAAACUCAAGCAACAUGGCGGUAAUUUUUACUUAGGGGAACUUACGCCGUAAUUGAUAACCACCAAGGUUAAGCAACUUCAGCAAACUCUUGUAUGCCGUCGUCGUCAGGUGGCACUUUAUGUUCCACCAUAAUAGAAACCUAAAAAGACAGAUCAAGGUGCAGACAAUGCUGAAGAGGUAGCGAGUUACAAUUUUAAUUACUAACAGAAAAACUAUGAAAAUAACAUUGAAGGAGGACUUAACAGUAAUAAAUAUAAUUAACAGUUUAUGAACUAUUUAG
rnacentral:rRNA from 1 species